rnacentral:rRNA from 1 species
UCCACGCCGUAAACGAUGUCGACUUGGAGGUUGUGCCCUUGAGGCGUGGCUUCCGGAGCUAACGCGUUAAGUCGACCGCCUGGGGAGUACGGCCGCAAGGUUAAAACUCAAAUGAAUUGACGGGGGCCCGCACAAGCGGUGGAGCAUGUGGUUUAAUUCGAUGCAACGCGAAGAACCUUACCUGGUCUUGACAUCCACGGAAGUUUUCAGAGAUGAGAAUGUGCCUUCGGGAACCGUGAGACAGGUGCUGCAUGGCUGUCGUCAGCUCGUGUUGUGAAAUGUUGGGUUAAGUCCCGCAACGAGCGCAACCCUUAUCCUUUGUUGCCAGCGGUCCGGCCGGGAACUCAAAGGAGACUGCCAGUGAUAAACUGGAGGAAGGUGGGGAUGACGUCAAGUCAUCAUGGCCCUUACGACCAGGGCUACACACGUGCUACAAUGGCGCAUACAAAGAGAAGCGACCUCGCGAGAGCAAGCGGACCUCAUAAAGUGCGUCGUAGUCCGGAUUGGAGUCUGCAACUCGACUCCAUGAAGUCGGAAUCGCUAGUAAUCGUGGAUCAGAAUGCCACGGUGAAUACGUUCCCGGGCCUUGUACACACCGCCCGUCACACCAUGGGAGUGGGUUGCCAAAGAAGUAGGUAGCUUAACCUUCGGGAGGGCGCUUACCACUUUGUGAUUCAUGACUGGG